AACGCGAAGAACCUUACCUACUCUUGACAUCCUGCGAACUUGGUAGAGAUACCUUGGUGCCUUCGGGAACGCAGAGACAGGUGCUGCAUGGCUGUCGUCAGCUCGUGUUGUGAAAUGUUGGGUUAAGUCCCGUAACGAGCGCAACCCUUGUCCUUAGUUGCCAUCAUUUAGUUGGGGACUCUAAGGAGACUGCCGGUGACAAACCGGAGGAAGGCGGGGACGACGUCAAGUCAUCAUGGCCCUUACGAGUAGGGCUACACACGUGCUACAAUGGCAAGUACAGAGGGCCGCGAAGCCGCGAGGUGGAGCUAAUCUCACAAAGCUUGUCGUAGUCCGGAUUGGAGUCUGCAACUCGACUCCAUGAAGUCGGAAUCGCUAGUAAUCGCAAAUCAGAAUGUUGCGGUGAAUACGUUCCCGGGGUCUUGACACACCG
rnacentral:rRNA from 1 species